AUGGACUUCUAUAGAUGUACAUAAUAGAUGUUAAAUUAUCUCACUGAAACAGUGUUUGGGAAUUCAGUUCUGCAGUAAUCUUUUAUUCACUCAUUAGCAGUAUUUAUGGAGCACAUCCGAUGUGCCAGGCUCUGUCGUAUUGGCGGAGAUAAUCCAGAUAUUGGGAGACAAGGUAAAUAUUUGUAUUGCCUUGAUGGUGCUCGAGGCCCAAGGGGUGGUUUAGAGGUGCAGAGUUGUAAUCGGCUGAGGGUCCUGGAAUGCAGGCUUGGGGCAUUGAGUACACUGCGCUGGGGGCCGAAGGGCGGAGGUCCCCGCCCCCCAGAGGUAGAAGAGCAGCUUCCUUGUAUGAAGUUCAAGGCUGGAGGAGGGAAAGCCAGGUGGCUGGGAAGCAUCUCAGGACAGGAGCCUGGGGAGACACACAGGCACUUGGUGUUGGUACUGAGAUGCGGGAGCUCCAUCCUGAGGGGCCCAGGGACUUGAGCUGGGUAUUACGUCACCAGGGCUUGUGUCUGCAGCAGGUCAGGCUGGUCUUUGUCAGGGAUAGAGUGUGGUGGUUCUGGACAGCUGGCUGGACCACUGUGGAGGUGCUUAGGGUCGUUCCAGCGGGACCCAGAAGUGGCCCCAGCUUGGGUAGGGCUGGAGGGGUGGGAGGUGGGUGUGGGGACAGAGGCAGGAUGGGAGGGGAAGAGGGGGGUGGCCUUGGGUUCUGGCUUAAGGCUUCAGCUCUCUCAGAGGAGCCAUGCCUAGAGCGGGGAACUGGGCAGGAGGAACCUGACAAAACCAGUUCCAGAUGACCUUCAAGUUCAAGAUGCCUCUUGGCAGGUGACUCUGUGGGACUGAAGUGGAGAAGAAUGAUUCUUGUUGGAACGGAUAAAUAUUUAAUAGCUCCCAUCGUUGAAGUUCGGUCAAGAUCAGCCAGUUCUACUCUGAGAGACUCAACAACAUGAAUUAUUACUAAGAUACUGGGUUACUGAGUCAGGGCUCUGCCCUAGACCUCCCUUCAGGCAGGUGAACCUCACCUAUGCUUCUUCACCUGGAAAAUGAUGACAGAAGCCACACUUACUUCUGUGCUUGCUAAGAAAAUGAGCAGUGCGGGUGAACCGAGCCUGGCAGAGACCACGUCCAGGGCGUUAGCUGCUGUCAGUUUCUCUAAGGCUGAACAGUCGUCCUUAAUGACUGGGGAGACCCAGGUGUUUUCUUGUCUAAACGUCACGGUCACUUCCUCUCCUUGGCGUCUCCUGCUUGUCGAUGCUCUGAUGUUGCCUUGUUUUACAGUCUGCUUGCUGGUAGUGCCUUAAAGGGAGGAUGGGAAAAACUGUGUCUUGUCAACACAGAUGUAGUUCCCAGGCUUGCUGCCCCUAGUUCAGAGGAUCUCAAUCUAGGGGACAAAGGUCAUAUCUGCACACACAAUAGAUACAGCCACUGCCCUGACUUUGCCGUGUUAAUAUUGGAAUUUUCUAUGUCGGAUAGUCCUAGUGUCAUAAUAUACAGUCUAUCUGGAACAGUGGGGCAGGGCUGGGGUCUGUACACAUAUGCCGGGAUGGAUUAAAUGCAGUUAGAUCAGGAUGACCCACUUGAUGAAAAAGAAGAGUUUCCAUUUUGGUUUUGUUGUUCAAGGUCAUACAUGCAGUUUAUUUUUUUCUUUUCCAUUAUGGUUUAUUAAGGAUAUUGAAUAGAGUUCCCUGUGCUGUACAAAGGGAUGUGUGUAUCUGUGUAACUGAAUCACUUUGUUGUAUACCAGACAUUAUCACAACAUUGUAAAUCAACCAUACUUCAAUAAAACUUUGAUUUUUUCUUUUUUUAGUUUUACCUAUCACAUUUAGGUCUUUCUUUCUUUAUUUUUGUCUUUUUUGUCUUCUUAGAGCCACACCCACAGCAUAUGGAGGUUCCCAGGCUCGGGGUCUAAUUGGAGCUGUUGCUGCCAGACUACACCACAGCCACAGCAAUGGGGGAUCCAAGCCGAGUUUUUGACCUACACCACAGCUUACGGCAACACCAGAUCCUCAACCCGGCUGAGUGAGGCCAGGGAUUGAACCCUCGUCCUCAUGGAUGCUAGUCUGGUUCGCUAACCACUGAGCCAUAACAGGAACUCCUUUUUUUUUUUUUUAGUUUUACCUUUCCCAUUUAGGUCUUUAUUUAUUUAUUUAUUUAUUUAUUGUCUUUUCUUUUUAGGGCCACACCCAUGGCAUAUGGAGGUUCCCAAGCUAGGAGUCGAAUCAGAGCUGUAGCCACCGGCCUACACCAGAGCCACAGCAACGCCAGAUCCGAGCCGCGUCUGCCACCUAAAGCACAGCUCAUGGCAACGGCAGAUCCUUAACUCAUUGAGAGAGGCCAGGGAUUGAACCCGCAACCUCAUGGUUCCUAGUCAGAUUUGCUUCCGCUGCGCCAUGAUGGGAACUCCAAGGUCUUUAUUUAUUUAUUUAUUUAUUUUUAUUUUUUUAUUUUUUUAAUUUUUAAAAAUUAAAAGAAAAUAGUAGGGUAUUGGAUAGUUGGUUCACGGGCAUAGUACCAGUUCUGUAGGCAUCUCAUUCUUCUGCAUUGAUUGAUUUACUGUAAAAGGGUAAAAAAACCAAACCAAACCAAAACCAAAACGCUGCCAGAGAGGAGCCCUCUUCGUGAGCGGAGCUUCCAUAGCUGUGGGGACGCGUCUUCCAACCCUUGGGAGGAAAGCCACCACUGCUGGUGCCUGUUGGGUUAGGAGGAUGAUUCUGAUUCCUAAGAGAAGCCAACAUUCCCAGCAAAAUUCUGCAUCAGGGGAGGAAUUCAUGUAUAUUGUUGCUUUCAAGAUGCUUUGUCAGAGGAACAACUUAAUGUUUAAUUUCUGGCAGUUCUCAAAAUUCAUCAUGAGAGCAUUUUGAGAAAAUAAUCUGCUAAAAUAUUGGUAUCAUUGUGCUAUGGAUGUUAGAGCAAAAAGUAAGAGUUUUUUUUUAGCGUUGUGGAGAAAUUGUAUUUUUCCAUUAUAUUGUUAUUAAACAUCAGAGAUUAAGACAAUGUCUAAAACUAAGAAAAAUUAACCCUCUCUCCCUCCAUUCCCUGGGUUUUGGGAUUUAAAAGACCAGCUUGUUUCUUGCUGAAAUAUGAAAUCUGAUAUUUUGAUUUGUCUGGAUUCCUUGCCAAAAGUUAUAGACUUUGAUUAAUAGUUUAUUUCUUAUUAUUCUAAAUCUUAUUUUAUAAUAGUUAAGCUGGAGAAAUAAUUCCAUUCAUCAAAAUAACAGGAAAUGAGAAAAUAAAUGGCAGCCUCAUUUGUCUCAUUUUUAGCUACCGAGAUUGUAAUGCAGAUGAUGGGAAAUCAUGUAGCUUGGUCUAUUUGAAUGUAUGUAUAAUAUGUUUUCAGUGUCACAGAUCUCAUCUCCAAAUUCAGCUGCUUUGUCUCAGCAAUUUUCUUACUCACGAAACCAAACAUCUUGAAACACAGUAUCCAUUUUUGCCAUUAAAGAUGACAUAGGGUGAAGAGUUGUGAGGAUAACUAGCGAUUUAUCUAGAGUGACCUGUGACCUGUAACGGCGUGUUGAUCGCUUGCUGAGAAAUGUCCUACUCAGUAGGGUUCUCUCUGUGUCCUUCAGCGUUGAGCAUCAGCUUCUGUGUCUAACACAGGCCUUGUUCCACAGGCCAAGCCCCUCUGGAGGCUGAGAUCCUGGGGUGCGGGAGCAGAGGCUUGGUGUGUGUAUGUCAGUGACCCCUGCCCAUGAGCUCAUCUGCAUCCCCUUCCCUUGUAAGCAGAAAGGAGAAAAGUAAGCCUCCCCAGAAGUUCCAGAAGCCAGUGUUCAUCCCUGGGACAUUGAAGGCCUCAAAGAAAGGGACUAUUUCUUUCAGUCUUCCAGAAGAGCCCACAAUGCACACGGGUGUAAGAAAGAAAAGCCACAUUUUCUACAAGCAUGCUUCUCAUUUUCUGACUGCUCUUUCUUCCUAGGAGAAAACAAAGCUGGUUUGUGCUCAAAUACCACGUGUCCCCUUAAUUUAAGAGUUUCUGUGAUUCCUUUCGUCCAUAGCUGCCUACCCCCACCCACCCCCAUACAUGAUUUCUCAGAUGAGUUUCACUCAUUUCUUAAAAACCCUGUAGGGCCGCCAGAUGGCUUGAUCAAGUGUUGGUCCCAAUGAGUCAGUACGUGAAGACAGCUCUUUAGAGUGAGAUGCUGUUUGAACACAUGCCUUCCUUUAUAAAGGAAAGCAGGCACCCGGGCCCCUGGAUGUGUGGACAACAUUUAACAACCUGGUUAUUCGGGUUAGCCAUAUCGUGCAGUCCUUCUAAAAUAAAUAGUUUAAAAACUUGCAGAGCCUGCAGUGUAAAAGCUCAGUGCUUUAUAGAGAGAGGCAGUCUUUCUGUUCUCUCUCUGAGGGUCCUUCUCCUUUCUCCCAAGCACAUUUGUAUAUUCAGGUCCAAAGAGAGGGAAAUCCAAGGAGAUGCCCUGGGAGGGACUCUGUGGGUGUUUAUGGAAUCUACACACACACACACACACACACAGGCACGCACAUAACACGUGUUCCUUCGCAUUCUUUGUCCAUUUAUGGAAUCAGGCCUGUCUGUUUGCUUCAUACAUUUACUUCCUAGAGACGUUCAAGGCCAGUCACCUAAUAGCUCACAGUAACUCUUUUUUUUUUUCCUAUUUGUAAACACAAAGGCAGUUUUCCUUCCUCGAACAUAUCUGGAACGCAUUCUGAACGAUCCCCGGUGAUCCAAGGCGUGAUGUCGCUGUGCAGAAAUGCCAAACACCCUUGUCAGUUAUUGCAGGGAUCUCACCAUCUACUUAAAGAAGUUUUAUUACUGCCCUCCUUCUGUUACUGUUUCCUACAUAUCAAAUGAACUACUGUUGGUACCACUUCGCCCCCCUCCCUCCAGCCCCUCUAAAAUGUUGUUGAGUAUCUCUCUGACUUCUGAGAGAUGUCGACUACUAGGUGUCAUGAAUGCAGAGCUAAUUUUAAAGUAGGAGUGUUCCGAGACUAUUAACUAAAGAGAAGCACUUAAUUCGUUAUGUCAACCAGACCACCCCCCCCAACCCUGACUUAUUUCUUGGGUUCCUGCAGGCAUAGCAAAACCAGUUUGGAUUUCACACGAGUGCUAUCCUUACUGUGUGCAGGUUCCUUUCAAGCUGUUGAUUUUACUUCCUCAAGACAUUAGCUGAAGGUUAAUGCAGUUAAGUAAGGCUAAUCGUGCCUGGUUGUUUUGUCCUUGGAUCGUAAAGGCCACCAUUCAAACAAUGAUGCUUCAGAUGUCAUUUGAGAACCUUCCCUGAAAGCUGCGGCUCUUGUUUAUUCUUCUUUUCCUCUCCCAGUUCUUGUGCCUUUAGAAUACCCCUUCUGUUUUCCAGCAUGGUAAUUAUUUAUGGAAAUGGAUGGAAGCUCUUUCUCGGGUUCUGAUGGACCUAUGUGAGGGCUGUACUUUUGCUUUAUUCGGCCACUAAGUUCAGCCCUGUUAAGACCAUCAUCCACCUACAAAUCUGCUUCGUAUUGCAGAGCAUUGCUUUGGUGGAUCUUCUGGUCCCAUCUUGCCAUCUUUUUUGCCUUUUCUCCAGAGCUGGUUCAGAUACUAUGAUUUGCUCUGCUUGUGCACAAGACACAGAAGUGUGAUAAACCUCUGUAACAGAUCUGGGAAGUGAUUUUCUAAAGCUGACACUGGAAGGUGGGAAGGCACGUUUAAAACAUUUCCUGGGAGUUCCCGCUGUGGCUCAGUGGUUUAACAAAUCCAACUAGGAACCACGAGGUUGCGGGUUCUAUCCCUGGCCUUGCUCUGUGGGUUAAGGAUCCAGUGUUGCCGUGAGCUGUGGUGUAGGUUGCAGACGCGGCUCAGAUCCCGAAUUGCUGUGGCUCUGGCAUAGGCCGGCAGCUACAGCUCAGAUUAGACCCCUAGCCUGAGAAGCUCCAUACGCUGUGGGUGUGGCCCUAGAAAAGGC
rnacentral:lncRNA from 1 species